rnacentral:rRNA from 1 species
AAGGGCACACCUGGAGUGGAGCCUGCGGCUUAAUCUGGCUCAACGCGGGAAAACUCACCCGGUCCGGACACCGUAAGGAUUGACAGACCGAUAGAUCUUUCUUGGUUCGGUGGAUGGUGGUGCAUGGCCGUUCUUAGUUGGUGGAGUGAUUUGUCUGGUUAAUUCCGAUAACGAACGAGACUCUAGCCUGCUAACUAGUGUAACUCUCUUGUUGGAGUUUGCACUUCUUAGAGGGACAAGUGGCGUUUAGCCUCGCGAAAAUGAGCAAUAACAGGUCUGUGAUGCCCUUAGAUGUCCGGGGCCGCACGCGCGCUACACUGGAGGAGCCAACGUGUUUUAUCCUAUCCCGGAAGGGAUGGGUAACCCGUUGAAACUCCUUCUCGCUUGGAAUAGAGGCUUGGAAUUAUUACACAAAGAUUAAUUUUUUUUAAUAAAUGAAAAUCACAAAAAAAAAGGAAAUAAGAAAAUGGCGUUUUUAUUACAGACCAUCCUACUACUUAUAUCCACAUUAAAAUAAAU